rnacentral:rRNA from 1 species
UGCGCCUUGCCACGCCGCUCAGAACUUAAAGGAAUUGACGGGGAGCACUACGACGGGUGGAGCCUGCGGUUUAAUUGGAUCAACGCCGGAAAUCUCACCGGGGCGACAGCAAUAUGAAGGUCAGGCUGAAGACUUACCCGAUUAGCUGAGAGGUGGUGCAUGGCCGUCGCCAGUUCGUACUGUGAAGCAUCCUGUUAAGUCAGGCAACGAGCGAGACCCACGUCCACAGUUGCCAGCAUACCCUCCGGGGUGAUGGGUACACUGUGGAGACCGCCGCUGCUAAAGCGGAGGAAGGAGUGGGCAACGGUAGGUCAGUAUGCCCCGAAUCUCCCGGGCUACACGCGGGCUACAAUGGUUGGUACAAUGGGCAUCUACCCCGAAAGGGGAAGGAAAUCUCCUAAAGCCAAUCGUAGUUCGGAUUGAGGGCUGCAACUCGCCCUCAUGAAGCUGGAAUCCGUAGUAAUCGCGUUUCAACAGAACGCGGUGAAUACGUCCCUGCUCCUU